GUUCCCGUAGCUCAAUGGCAGAGCAAACGACUUUUAAUCGAGAGGUUGCAGGUUCGAGUCCUGUCGGGGACACCA
rnacentral:tRNA from 1 species